AGAGUUUGAUCCUGGCUCAGGACGAACGCUGGCGGCGUGCUUAACACAUGCAAGUCGAGCGGUAGCACAGAGAGCUUGCUCUCGGGUGACGAGCGGCGGACGGGUGAGUAAUGUCUGGGAAACUGCCUGAUGGAGGGGGAUAACUACUGGAAACGGUAGCUAAUACCGCAUAACGUCGCAAGACCAAAGUGGGGGACCUUCGGGCCUCAUGCCAUCAGAUGUGCCCAGAUGGGAUUAGCUAGUAGGUGGGGUAACGGCUCACCUAGGCGACGAUCCCUAGCUGGUCUGAGAGGAUGACCAGCCACACUGGAACUGAGACACGGUCCAGACUCCUACGGGAGGCAGCAGUGGGGAAUAUUGCACAAUGGGCGCAAGCCUGAUGCAGCCAUGCCGCGUGUGUGAAGAAGGCCUUCGGGUUGUAAAGCACUUUCAGCGGGGAGGAAGGCGAUAAGGUUAAUAACCUUGUCGAUUGACGUUACCCGCAGAAGAAGCACCGGCUAACUCCGUGCCAGCAGCCGCGGUAAUACGGAGGGUGCAAGCGUUAAUCGGAAUUACUGGGCGUAAAGCGCACGCAGGCGGUCUGUCAAGUCGGAUGUGAAAUCCCCGGGCUCAACCUGGGAACUGCAUUCGAAACUGGCAGGCUAGAGUCUUGUAGAGGGGGGUAGAAUUCCAGGUGUAGCGGUGAAAUGCGUAGAGAUCUGGAGGAAUACCGGUGGCGAAGGCGGCCCCCUGGACAAAGACUGACGCUCAGGUGCGAAAGCGU
rnacentral:rRNA from 1 species